CCUACGGGUGGCAGCAGUGAGGAAUAUUGGUCAAUGGGCGCGAGUCUGAACCAGCCAUGCCGCGUGAAGGAAGACGGCCCUAUGGGUUGUAAACUUCUUUUGUACGAGAAUAAACUCAGGUACGCGUAUCUUUCUGCAUGUAUCGUACGAAUAAGGAUCGGCUAACUCCGUGCCAGCAGCCGCGGUAAUACGGAGGAUGCAAGCGUUACCCGGAUUCAAGUGGCUUAAAGAGCGCGUAGGCGGGUUGUUAAGUCAGAUGUGAAAGUGUGUGGCUUAACCAUAGAACUGCAUUUGAAACUGUCAGUCUAGAGUAUGGGAGAGGUAGGUGGAAUGCGUGGUGUAGCGGUAAAAUGCGUAGAGAUCAAGAGGAACACUGAUUGCGAAGGCGACCUGCUAGAACAACACUGACGCUGAGGCGCGAAAGCGUGGGGAGCAAACAGGAUUAGAUACCCCGGUAGUC
rnacentral:rRNA from 1 species